rnacentral:tRNA from 1 species
GGAGUUGUAGCUCAAUGGUAGAGCACUUACCUGGCACAUAUGAGGCUCUGGGUUUGAUCCUCAGCACCA